CUGCUCCCUCCACUGAAACAGGAGGAGAGGAGACAGUGGGAGAAGGCACUUGCAGUGUCUUGCUCAGAACAGGAUUUGGAGAGUGAAGCAGGAGCAGCAGACACCUAUGGAGCCACAUCCAGGAGCCUGGACCCAAAAUGGGAUUGCCAGCCAGUCUUACAUGGCCUGGCUGUGUACUACACAAUCGCACCCUGGUGAAUGGGAGCAGAACACCUGGAGCUGGUGAAAAGGAAGUUAAAAAUAAUUUCCAAAACCC